rnacentral:snoRNA from 1 species
UGUGUGUGUGUGUGUGUGUGUGUGUGUGUGUGUGUGUGUGUGUGUGUGUGUUAUAUACACACACACACACACACACACACACACACACACAAACAAAGAAAAACAAGUAGAUAGAAUAGAAAAAAUAGAAAGCUAGUGUUUUUUAAAUAA